rnacentral:snRNA from 1 species
AGGUCAGGCGGGAUUACC